GUAAUGUCAACAUCAUCCUGCUGGUGCUAAGGCAAUGGGGGUGAGCGGCAAUCCCUUAGGGGGCGGAGAAGUCGAACUGUUCUAAAUGUGGAGUUGCUAAUUUAAGGGAUCCCAGUGGCUCCCCUUAUGCCAAAUCGUUAAUCAUAUGAAAUCAAGUGAGAGCAUUUUUCCCCCGGGGUGGUAGCGUGCAACCUUAUCUCUCUUAAAGCCACACUACUUGUGUUUGCCUUGACACAGAUCACUUUGAGCUACAUCUGGAUGCUAAGCAGUGCCUGUACUGACGCUCAGAACAGCCACGGUGCCAUCGCCCGGCCUGGGGAGUUAAGGGAGAAACACAUUCAGGUCUCCUUAUUUCUCCUUCCAUCCCAUGUUGCAAGCUAGAGCGAGCAUGAAGUCUUAUGAAAUGCUUGAUAAUUUAAAUCCCCGUAAGGCUUAAGGCUGAAGAUUUCAACCAAAUGGGCUUACAUGCGAAUGGCUCCAAUCCAGUAAAAAGAGGGGAAAAAAAGCCAAAAGUAAACAACAACAACAAUAAAAAAAAACAAAAAAA
rnacentral:lncRNA from 1 species